rnacentral:rRNA from 1 species
GCGGCAUGGAUUAGGCAUGCAAGUCGAACGUGAAGUUCCGCUUCGGCGGGAUGGAAAGUGGCGCAAGGGUGAGUAACACGUGAGUAACCUGCCCCCGACUUCGGGAUAACCCCGGGAAACUGGGAUUAAUACCGGAUGCGGCGGCCCUCCGCCGGGAGGGCUUGCCAAAGAUUGAGUUCGGUCAGGGAUGGGCUCGCGGCCCAUUAGCUUGUUGGCGGGGUAACGGCCCACCAAGGCUACGACGGGUAGGUGGUCUGAGAGGAUGGUCACCCACACUGGGACUGAGACACUGCCCAGACUCCUACGGGAGGCUGCAGUCGAGAAUCUUCCGCAAUGGGCGCAAGCCUGACGGAGCGAUGCCGCGUGAGGGAUGAAGGCCUUCGGGUUGUAAACCUCUGUCACCCGGGACGAAGAAGUGACGGUACCGGGAGAGGAAGCCACGGCUAACUACGUGCCAGCAGCCGCGGUAAUACGUAGGUGGCGAGCGUUAUUCGGAUUUACUGGGCGUAAAGGGUCCGUAGGGGGUCUGUCAAGUCUGAUGUGAAAUUCCGGGGCUCAACCCCGGACGUGCAUUGGAUACUGCCGGGCUUGAGUGCGCGAGAGGAAAGCGGAAUUCCAGGUGUAGCGGUGGAAUGCGUAGAUAUCUGGAAGAACACCCGCGGCGAAGGCGGCUUUCUGGCGCGUCACUGACCCUGAGGGACGGAAGCGUGGGUAGCGAACAGGAUUAGAUACCCUGGUAGUCCACGCCGUAAACGUUGUGCACUAGAUGUAGGGGGUCCUUUGGUCCCUUCCGUGUCCAAGCUAACGCGAUAAGUGCACCGCCUGGGGACUACGGCCGCAAGGCUAAAACUCAAAGGAAUUGACGGGGGCCCGCACAAGCGGUGGAGCAUGUGGCUUAAUUCGAGGCAACGCGAAGAACCUUACCUGGGUUUGACAUAUACCGGACCGGCCGUGAAAGCGGUUUUCUCUUCGGAGUCGGUAUACAGGUGCUGCAUGGCUGUCGUCAGCUCGUGCCGUGAGGUGUUCGGUUAAGUCCGGCAACGAGCGCAACCCGUAUCAUCAGUUACCAGCGCGUCAUGGCGGGGACUCUGGUGAGACUGCCCGUGUCAAGCGGGAGGAAGGCGCGGAUGACGUCAAGUCCGUAUGGCCCUUACAUCCAGGGCUGCACACGUGCUACAAUGGUCGGUACAAUGGGCGGCAAGACCGCGAGGUGGAGCCAAUCCCCAAAACCGGCCCCAGUUCGGAUCGGAGUCUGCAACUCGACUCCGUGAAGUCGGAAUCGCUAGUAAAGGCGUAUCAGCAACGACGCCUUGAUACGUUCCCGGGCCUUGUACACACCGCCCGUCACAUCAUGGAAGCUGGCUGCACCCAAAGUCGUCGGCUCAACCUUCGGGAGAGAGACGCCUAAGGUGUG